AGUGGGACAACUGGGUCAAAUGGUGGUUCUAUUCCAAGUUUUCUGAGGAAUCUCCAUACUGCUUUCCAGAGUGGUUGCACCAAUUUUCAGUCCCAUCAGCAAU
rnacentral:pre_miRNA from 1 species